AGUCGGUGUUGUGGCAGGCGUUGCAGCGACGCUGCUGCGCCAGUACCUGCGCUCGCUGAAUGCGGGCCGGAUCGCCGGCGUCGUCCGGCGGAAGCGGCUUUUUUUGUGUUUCNGUCGGAGAAUGUACGCAGAUCAUCGUCCGUUAAAUCCUUCGCCAUCUCGUUCAUGAUGUCGAAGGUCCGCAAUUUUUCACGAAACAUGUAGAGCUGGAUCAGCACAUAAGCCGGCUGCUG
rnacentral:misc_RNA from 1 species